GGGGCUCAGCCCCCAGCAUAGGGUGUCAGAUCUUGGCAUGAAAUGCAGCCGCGUCUCCUUGAGCAUCUGGCCCUGUCAAGCUGAGCCUGUUCCUGGCGUGGGAAACUGGAGCCCCGGGAGCACCAGUGUGAAGUGGCUGCUGAAGGAGGCAGCACACUCAGGACUGGAAGUAGGAAGAAUUACAGGACACGGACUCCUCGGCACUUCGCAGAGAGGAUUGUUAACGGGGUACCACCCUCGUGCACAUGUUUAAUCAAAUGCCAGAUUUCUUGACUUGCUAUUGCUUCCUGUGGAAAGAGUUUGGUGGGCAUUUCUGUUCAUGAGAGAAAGCCAGUGUCAAGUUUCUCUGGCCCUUGGCUGGAGGCAUAGUAGCCACACUGAUGACGAAUUUCUCUGGGGCUGAUGCAAACAUGUGGCUUCUUUUCUACAUGGCAGCACUUUCUGCUUUAGAAAGAUUUUGCAAACUUCUCUUGUGUCAGAAAGAGUCAAACCAGGUUUUUUCCCUCAGGUGUUUGGGUGAGGCCAGAGAAAAGGGCAGGGGAGAGACGCUGCCUGGCAGCCCGGGGACCUGCAGGAGAGAGUGCCUGGUAUCUGAAAGCUGGAGCACGUCUGGGUCUUCAAGUGGCCUGGCAGACUUUUUGUCAAUUUGUUAUUCUCUUCUUUUUUGUUUUUGGUUCAUUUGAGGCAAAGAAUAUUCCACUGGGUACUUGAUUAAACAUAAAAUUCCUA